GAUGAACGCUGGCGGCGUGCCUAAUACAUGCAGGUCGAGCGAACAGACGAGGAGCUUGCUCCUCUGACGUUAGCGGCGGACGGGUGAGUAACACGUGGAUAACCUACCUAUAAGACUGGGAUAACUUCGGGAAACCGGAGCUAAUACCGGAUAAUAUAUUGAACCGCAUGGUUCAAUAGUGAAAGACGGUUUUGCUGUCACUUAUAGAUGGAUCCGCGCCGCAUUAGCUAGUUGGUAAGGUAACGGCUUACCAAGACAACGAUGCGUAGCCGACCUGAGAGGGUGAUCGGCCACACUGGAACUGAGACACGGUCCAGACUCCUACGGGAGGCAGCAGUAGGGAAUCUUCCGCAAUGGGCGAAAGCCUGACGGAGCAACGCCGCGUGAGUGAUGAAGGUCUUCGGAUCGUAAAACUCUGUUAUUAGGGAAGAACAAAUGUGUAAGUAACUAUGCACGUCUUGACGGUACCUAAUCAGAAAGCCACGGCUAACUACGUG
rnacentral:rRNA from 1 species